rnacentral:lncRNA from 1 species
AUUUUUUACUUGUCGUAUCUGAGAUUUACAUAAGCAAAGUAACUGGCUUGAGGUGAGACAGCUGGUGAAGGAUUGCAGCAAAGCCGUAAUCCAGGCCAGCAUUUCUAUUCAUCACUGUUUCCUUGUCUCUAAACUGAUUCACAUCCUUAGUGUUGGUCCUAUCUCAUCCUGCCUUGUUUAGAAGCCUGCACCCUUCAUUGCUUCUAUUUUUUCAUUUCUGGUCUUACUAACUACAAACUUACUUUCAGCUAAUAAGUGUGAGCCUCCCUUAUCCUUAAAAAAAAAAAGACACAGAGGGAAGAAAAUAAAAAAAUAAAGCCUUGUGCCUUCAACUCUCACCUUACUGUAUCUUUGCUCCAUCUCUCCUCCUCCAAAUGUCUCAAUAUAGAGACUGUACCCCAUGACUCCACAGUCUUGCCUUUCCCUCUCUGUCCAUCCUCUGGGUUCCAUGCCUCCCCCACCCUCGCUAAGGUGGACAAUGAACAGAGCCUUGGCUCAAUUCUUCUCCUUCACUGCUCAAGUAAAUUUACCCUCCUCAACACCUUUUUCUUAAAACACUUAAUUUUUGUGGUUGCUGUAUUAUACAUUCCAGCUUAUUUUUUUGUGUUUCUCACCAGUCCUUCUUGAUUUUAUUCAUUUACAUUUUCUCUCACCUCUAAAAUAAGAUCUUUGUAUUAGUUUCCUAGAACUGCCAUAACCAAGUACCACAAACAGGGUGGCUGAAAACAACGGACAUUUGUCUCUCUCAGUUGCGGAGGCCAGAAGUCUGAAAUCACGGUGUUAGCAGAGCCACGCUCCAUCUGAGACUCUGUGGAGAAUCCUUCCUUGCCUCUUCCUGGCUUCCGCUGACUGCCAGUCUCAAAAAUGUGGGCAGUGUCUGCUCAACUUUCUAAACAACCACAGAAGCCUACCUUGCAGUGGACACCUGCACAUUAAAUGUGUGGUGUUCAGAAAAUAGACCGAAAUAAAUGUUAGAGGAGCAGGAAGUUUGGAGGUCAUGUUGUUAGGAUUGACACCUGUGGAAGGAAGGGAAAUAAGACUGAGAAGAGAGAAGCGGGCCCAUGGAGCAGUUGC